CUGCCUUCUGCAACACACCCAGCAGUCUCUUCCGAGAAGGUACAGCCAGGAGGUCACCCAGGGUUUCUUUCCACCAGAUGGGAGACAGAACCAUGCUGGGUCCCCUUGCCAUCCUGUGUGCUCUCCUAUUUCCUGGCGGUGGAGCAGGGCUCAAGCUGAGUCAGACUGAUUUAUUGGUGGCACGCAUGGGCAGUUCACAUCCUCUGGAUUGCCAGGUGGACAGUUGGGUCAACAACAUCCACUGGUACCGCCACCAGGAGGGUACGGCACCGAAGAGGCUCCUCUACCUAGACAUGUCCACAUUCCGUGUGCAACAGGAUUAUGUCCUGAAAGCUGACAAAGUCAAUGCUAAGAAGGGCAAGAAUAGAAACAGCUGCACUCUAUGGGUGAUGAAACUGGAGAAAAGUGACGAGGGCGUGUACUACUGUGCUGCCUGGGAAGGCUGGAUCAAGAUAUCUGUGGAAGGAACUAAGCUUAUAAUAACUUCUCCUGAUAAAAGUCCUGAUGAAGAUAUUUCUCCCAAGCCCACAGUUUUUCUUCCUUCAGUUGCUGAAGUAGAAGUCCAUAAGGCUGGGACAUAUCUUUGUCUUCUUGAGGAUUUUUUCCCUGAUGUUAUCAAGGUAGAUUGGCAAGAAAAGGAUGACAAAACAAUUCUGAAAUCCCAGCAGGGAGACACCAUGAAGACUAAGGACACAUACAUGAAAUUUAGCUGGCUGACUGUGACUGGAGCAUCAAUGGAUAAAGAACACAAAUGUAUCGUCAACCACGAAAGUGGAAAAAAAGUUGUUCAAGAGAUACUUUUUCCUUCAGUAAACAAAGGUUUGAUGGCUGUGACAGAAUCUGAAAUGGACUCCCAGGGACAUUCAGUAACAAAGCGAAACAUAGAGCUGGUAACCGUGAGUCCUUUGAAUUCAGGAUAUUUCUCACCUGAUCCAAUGGCUGUGGAGUUUGCUGCUAUUAACUCCACAAAAUCUUCUGUGAAUGAUGAAAAUGACACCCUGCAGCUGCAACUUGGGAACACAUCUGCCUACUAUACCUACCUCCUCCUCCUCCUGAAGAGCCUGAUCUACUCCGUCAUCAUCGUCAUCUGUCUGCUUGGGAGACCAGCACUCAGUGGCAUUGGGAAGAGUUCCUAACACAUGGUGGCACAAGGUUCACUUCUUGCCAUUGGUUAGUGUCCCUAAAAGUAUCUGCUGAGGAUCUAGUGAGCCUUCUUUCUGAUAUUGGGUUAUUUCAGUUCACAUGUGUCUUUUCUUGUGUCAUUAUCUGAGAACAGGCUUACAAACCCCCUGACAAACAGAAGCUUUCACUCUGCAGCUAGAACAGAUUCUGCCAUGACUCAGGGGCCGGGCCAGGGGGCAUCCACAGAGUCUUCUGCACCACCCCCUCAUUGUUGUCCACCAGCUCCCAGCCACCCAGUCCCCAUGCCUCUGGGUACA